rnacentral:rRNA from 1 species
UAUACAGCGAAACUGCGAAUGGCUCAUUAUAUAAGUUAUCGUUUAUUUGAUAGUGCCUUACUACUUGGAUAACCGUGGUAAUUCUAGAGCUAAUACAUGCUAAAAACCCCGACUUCGGAAGGGGUGUAUUUAUUAGAUACAAAACCAAUGCCCUUCGGGGCUCUUUGGUGAUUCAUGAUAACUAUACGAAUCGCACGGCCUUGCGCCGGCGAUGGUUCAUUCAAAUUUCUUCCCUAUCAACUUUCGAUGUUUGGGUAUUGGCCAAACAUGGUUGCAACGGGUAACGGAGGGUUAGGGCUCGACCCCGGAGAAGGAGCCUGAGAAACGGCUACUACAUCCAAGGAAGGCAGCAGGCGCGCAAAUUACCCAAUCCCGACUCGGGGAGGUAGUGACAAUAAAUACUGAUACAGGGCCCUUUCGGGCCUUGUAAUUGGACUCACUCCCAUUUAAAUCCCUUAACGAGGAACAAUUGGAGGGCAAGUCUGGUGCCAGCAGCCGCGGCAAUUCCAGCUCCAAUAGCGUAUAU